UGUCGAACAUGAUGAAAGUAAUUUACGGGUGAUGAUCAACAUCAUGUGAUCAAGAAUCUACUCGCUACGUUCUUUCUGAUUCUUCU